rnacentral:rRNA from 1 species
CCUACGGGAGGCUGCAGUCGAGAAUCAUGCACAAUGGGGGAAACCCUGAUGGAGCGACGCCGCGUGGGGGAAUGAAGGUCUUCGGAUUGUAAACCCCUGUCAUGUGGGAGCAAAUUAAAAAGAUAGUACCACAAGAGGAAGAGACGGCUAACUCUGUGCCAGCAGCCGCGGUAAUACAGAGGUCUCAAGCGUUUUUCGGCAUCACUGGGCGUAAAGCGUGCGUAGGCUGUUUCGUAAGUCGUGUGUGAAAGGAGCGGGCUUAACCCGCGGACGGCACAUGAUACUGCGAGACUAGAGUAAUGGAGGGGGAUGCGGAAUUCUCGGUGUAGCAGUGAAAUGCGUAGAUAUCGAGAGGAACACUCGUGGCGAAGGCGGGUUCCUGGACAUUAACUGACGCUGAGGCACGAAGGCCAGGGGAGCGAAAGGGAUUAGAUACCCUAGUAGUC